rnacentral:rRNA from 1 species
GAUGAACGCUGGCGGCGUGCUUAACACAUGCAAGUCGAACGAAGCACUUUGGACAGAUUCUUCGGAUGAAAUUCUUAGUGACUGGGUGGCGGACGGGUGAGUAACGCGUGGGUAACCUGCCUCAUACAGGGGGAUAACAGUUAGAAAUGGCUGCUAAUACCGCAUAAGCGCACGGUACUGCAUGGUACAGUGUGAAAAACUCCGGUGGUAUGAGAUGGACCCGCGUUGGAUUAGCUAGUUGGCAGGGUAACGGCCUACCAAGGCGACGAUCCAUAGCCGGCCUGAGAGGGUGGACGGCCACAUUGGGACUGAGACACGGCCCAGACUCCUACGGGAGGCAGCAGUGGGGAAUAUUGCACAAUGGGGGAAACCCUGAUGCAGCGACGCCGCGUGAGCGAAGAAGUAUUUCGGUAUGUAAAGCUCUAUCAGCAGGGAAGAAAAUGACGGU